CUAUCAUUACUACCAUCAAAAGCAGCGCAUAACCCAAAAAAAAUAAAAUAAAUAAAAUAAAAUAAAAUAAAAUAAAAUCAAAAUAAAAUCAAAACGAAAUUGAAGAUAAAAAAUUCAGAAACUGGGUUGCCUCCCAGCAAGCGCUCUUUUAACAUCAUUAGCUUGACCCGGUAAAGCCCAAACACCCCUCAGUAGGUGUUGAUUUUUAACGUUGG
rnacentral:lncRNA from 1 species